GGGGUUUUGAAAGAUUGGUGAAAGUCGAAAAAGCCUUCACACGGCAGGGGGCACUGGUUCGAUCCCAGUAACGCCCACCA
rnacentral:tRNA from 1 species